ensembl:lncRNA
GUUUCUUGGAGAAGGGGAGGGCAGUGAGGCACAGUCCCCCGUCCCCCGACGCCCCUCGCGAUGCCCCUCCUUCUUCGACUAACCCUCUGCAUAGGAGCCGUGAGAGCCAGGAACUUGUGAGUUUUGUAUGUCCACUCAGGCAUCAUUCAUACCUGGUGUGUAGGAAGUUCCUGUCAGAAGGAGGGGGCACCGCGAGGGCGUCGAGGGGCGGAAGGCGGUGCCUUAGUGCCUCCCUCCUUCUGACAUUGUAAAGGAACCCUAACUUUAUUAUUUUUUUAAUAGUAAGAUAGAUAUAUAUAUAUAUAUGUAUGUAUAUGUUUUUUGUCCUCAGAUGAGGUUUGAAGUGUCUGUGUGGUGCAGCUGGUCUGGUCUGUCUCUGUACAGUCGAGGCUGCACCCACCUAUAAAAGGUGGAGGCUCACCAGGACAUGCACACCUCACAAGUUCCCGGCUCUCUCGACUCGGUUGAAGACGGCUUUCUAGAAGAAGGCGAGGGCAGUGAGGCACAGUCCCCCGUCCCUCGACGCCCCUCGCGAUGCCCCUCCUUCUUGGACUAACCCUCUUCAGAGGAGCCGUGAGAGCCAGGAACUUGUGAGUUUUGUAUGUCCAGUCAGGCAUCAUUCAUACCUGGUCUGUAGGAAGUUCCUGUCAGAAGGAGGUGGCACCGCGAGGGCGUCGAGGGGCGGAAGGCGGUGCCUUAGUGCCUCCCUCCUUCUGACAUUGUAAAGGGACCCUAACUUUAUUACUUUUUUAAUAGUAAGAUAGAUAUAUAUAUAUAUGUAUGUAUAUGUUUUUUGUCCUCAGAUGAGGUUUGAAGUGUCUGUGUGGUGCAGCUGGUCUGGUCUGUCUCUGUACAGUCGAGGCUGCACCCACCUAUAAAAGGUGGAGGCUCACCAGGACAUGCACACCUCACAAGUUCCCGGCUCUCUCGACUCGGUUGAAGACGGGUUUCUUGGAGAAGGGGAGGGCAGUGAGGCACAGUCCCCCGUCCCCCGACGCCCCUCGCGAUGCCCCUCCUUCUUGGACUAACCCUCUUCAGAGGAGCCGUGAGAUCCAGGAACUUGUGAGUUUUGUAUGUCCAGUCAGGCAUCAUUCAUACCUGGUCUGUAGGAAGUUCCUGUCAGAAGGAGGGGGCACCGCGAGGGCGUCGAGGGGCGGAAGGCGGUGCCUUAGUGCCUCCCUCCUUCUGACAUUGUAAAGGAACCCUAACAAUAUUCUUUUUUUUAAUAGUAAGAUAUAUAAGUAUGGACAGUGAACAUUUUAAGCCCACUCGGCAGCGACAGAUGGCCACCCCUUCCUGAGCCUGGUUCUGUCGGAGGUUUCUCCCCGUUAAAAGGGAGUUUUUCCUCCCCACCGUCGCCAAGUGCUUGCUCAUAGGGGAUUUUUUUUGGGCUUUUUUUUUUAAACCAACUGCUGAUAAGUUCACUGGCAUCAAGUUUAGGACUCUGCAAACAUUUAAAUGGAUAAUUCGUCAUCAAGUGAGGAAUGAUCCAUUUAAAUCAUAUUUGAGAGUCACAUAUAUUUGUAUAUAAAUAUGAUUCGUUGGACAAUAAGGCCAAUCACAGACUAAUUUGGACAAUUGGGAAAAAUUAAAUAACUAAAAAAAAUUGGAUAAAAUGCAUGUGUCAUUGUUUCAUAUUGAUUUCAAAUAACAUACCAUUUGAUUUCAACAUAUUUUUUUUACACUUGCAGUGGUG